AAAGAAAGCCAUUUGGCACAAGCACUUAGUUGAGUCCAGACUUGCCCUGUCAUAUGGCCCUCUUCAGGCAUGCAGAAGAGAACCAUUGUGCUGACAAAGGAUCAACUCAUUGAGAAUUCAAGAGAUGUUAACCUGACUAGUAGCUGAGGGAUCCCUUUUCAGAGCAUGUUCGGAGAAAGGUCCAUAUUGAGCAUUGUGAAGUCCAGCAACUAUGAAAGGCCUCCCUAUACCAGCUCUGCCUCAGCCGUAAGCAUUCUAUGAUUGCAACUGGAGAUUGGACAGGAAAUGGUACCCAGAAGUUUGAAUAUCUUAAAAAUGGUUUGGAAAAAUGGUACUGGGAACUUCCGAACACCAAAAACAACUAAUUGAAUUUUGGCUAGAAUCUCAUUUGUGGCCAUUGUUUUAUUUGUUUAUUUAUAUUUGGA